rnacentral:lncRNA from 1 species
ACCAAGUGUAGUGGUAAUAAGCAUUUUUUCUGCCUUUUUGACAUACAAAGUGAGUUUGCGCAGCAUAUUUUGCAAACCUUAUGUGUGCUAUGACUGUAUAAUACUUCAUAUGUUGCUCAGCUAUGUCAGCUGAGUACAGCAAUACCCCUGUAUGUACCUUUGCCAGGUAUAUGUGGAUGUUGAAGGGGCGCAUUUGAGACGCAGCCAGUUUUUUUCUAACUUUGAAGUUUUACGCUGUGUCCAUGUUCCAAUUUGGAGUAGUUUAGACGGUUGGUUAUUGAAACUUCCCCACAAACACAUACUAUUUAUUAAAGAAUACACCCUGGGG